AUUAGGUAUAUGUGAAACUCGCCGGCAGUAAGUCACCGGCUACCAGUUGCGCACAUUGAAAAGCCGACCGUACUAGUUGUUCACUGUGAAGAAAAUGAUUUCAUCACUUUGGUUUACUGAUUUUUAU